GACGAACGCUGGCGGCGUGCUUAACACAUGCAAGUCGAACGGAAAGGCCCUGCUUUUGUGGGGUGCUCGAGUGGCGAACGGGUGAGUAACACGUGAGUAACCUGCCCUUGACUUUGGGAUAACUUCAGGAAACUGGGGCUAAUACCGGAUAGGAGCUCCUGCUGCAUGGUGGGGGUUGGAAAGUUUCGGCGGUUGGGGAUGGACUCGCGGCUUAUCAGCUUGUUGGUGGGGUAGUGGCUUACCAAGGCUUUGACGGGUAGCCGGCCUGAGAGGGUGACCGGCCACAUUGGGACUGAGAUACGGCCCAGACUCCUACGGGAGGCAGCAGUGGGGAAUAUUGCACAAUGGGCGGAAGGCUGAUGCAGCAACGCCGCGUGCGGGAUGAAGGCCUUCGGGUUGUAAACCGCUUUCGCCUGUGACGAAGCGUGAGUGACGGUAAUGGGUAAAGAAGCACCGGCUAACUACGUG
rnacentral:rRNA from 1 species